rnacentral:rRNA from 1 species
AGAGUUUGAUCCUGGCUCAGAACGAACGCUGGCGGCAGGCUUAACACAUGCAAGUCGAACGAAGGCUUCGGCCUUAGUGGCGCACGGGUGAGUAACACGUGGGAAUAUACCUCUCGGUGGGGAAUAACGUUGGGAAACUGACGCUAAUACCGCAUACGCCCUUAGGGGGAAAGAUUUAUCGCCGAGAGAUUAGCCCGCGUCCGAUUAGCUAGUUGGUGAGGUAAAAGCUCACCAAGGCGACGAUCGGUAGCUGGUCUGAGAGGAUGAUCAGCCACACUGGGACUGAGACACGGCCCAGACUCCUACGGGAGGCAGCAGUGGGGAAUAUUGGACAAUGGGCGCAAGCCUGAUCCAGCCAUGCCGCGUGAGUGAUGAAGGCCUUAGGGUUGUAAAGCUCUUUCGACGGGGACGAUGAUGACGGUACCCGUAGAAGAAGCCCCGGCUAACUUCGUGCCAGCAGCCGCGGUAAU